AUUGAACGCUGGCGGCAGGCCUAACACAUGCAAGUCGAGCGGAUGAAGGGAGCUUGCUCCUGGAUUCAGCGGCGGACGGGUGAGUAAUGCCUAGGAAUAUGCCUGGUAGUGGGGGAUAACGUCCGGAAACGGGCGCUAAUACCGCAUACGUCCUGCGGGAGAAGGUGGGGGAUCUUCGGACCUCACGCUCUCAGAUGAGCCUAGGUCGGGUUAGCUAGUUGGUGGGGUAAAGGCCUACCAAGGGGACGAUCCGUAACUGGACUGAGAGGAUGAUCAGUCACCUGAGAACGUGAACGGCGACAUGGGGCCUGAGGGAGGGACCAGACGGGAAUAGUGGACAAUGGGCGAAAGCCUUAUCCAGCCAGGCCGCGUGUGUGGAAGAGGUCCUCGGAGUGUAAAGCACUUUAAGUUGGGGGGAAGGGCAGUAAGUUAAGACCUAGCUUUUUUGACGUUACCAACAGAAUAAGCACCGGCUAACUUCGUG
rnacentral:rRNA from 1 species